CUGGAUUGUUAGCCUAGAUGCACAAAUAUAAUUGAUAAAUUAAAUAUUUCUAAUAUUCAAAAACAAUAAUUAAGAAGAAUAAACUAGCAAAUAAUUAACUUGACAAUAUAAUAAUAAAAUGAAGAAAGAGAGAGAAGAUGGCCUGUGGAUCGAAGCACGCUGAUGCGCUGUCCCAGGAAAGUUUAUGCCCCCCACGCACGGGUCUGCUGGCACAGAUCUCCUAGAGAUACGACGACCCAAUACAGAACCACGUCUUCCCCGUCAGUGCGCCUCCAGGGAAGAAAGUAGAGCAC
rnacentral:lncRNA from 1 species